UUUUCUUGGAGUCCUGAAAUUUUAACUUAAACCAUUGCAUGUGGCCCUACUCAUUGGAUUUAGGAAAGAAAUUGGAAAGGCAAGUGUAGUUGUGCAAGGAACCAGCUAUUGUGCUGGACUAUAACAAACAUAGUGGAGAGAAAGAAGCACCAGCAUAGAAGAAAUUGGAUGAGAAAGAAGCUAUUGCAGCAGUGUCAAAAGCAGAGAAUGGAAAGUCAUGAAGGAGCAAAGCGACAAUCUCUGAAAUUUAAGACAGAGGGAAAAAGAAUACUGCCGACUGACGUAAGAAAAACUUGUGUGAGCUUGUCUACUCAGAGAUUUCUGUUUGGGCAGAAAGGCUGAGGAGUCUUCCAUCCAACUCAGAAGCCACAAAGUAGGAUCCUUUUUCCCUUUCAAGACACUAAGAGAUGGAAGACACAGAACUUCUGGCUUCCACUGAUCUAUUUCCCACGAGUAUAAAAUGAACAAUCAAUAAGAACAGACUGAACUCUUACUACCUUUAGACCACUGUUUACUGCUAGGAAACUGACUCCCGGCCUCACGAAACAUAAAGCCUCAUAAGUAAAACAAAAUCACCAUGUUAUAUCAUUGUUGAACAUUGAAUGCUGGAAUUGGAAGUGAGAGAAAUGGAAGCUGAAUCCCAUCUCUGAUACCUAAGAAGUAACUGUGGGCAAGUCAUUUAACCUCGAAAGACUUCAGUUUUCUCACAUGAAAACUGGGACAAUAAUACCAGGAGCUCUUGCAUCAUAGGACUAUUAAAAGAAUCCAAUGAGAAGAUGUAUAUAAAAUCACAUUAAAGUGCUAUAUCCAUGUAUUUCAUGAGGUCUAAUUGGAGUUGGGUACCAAGAAAAAAGAAAUCA